rnacentral:rRNA from 1 species
UUAGCUCACUGGUCUAGUCGGCCCGCGCGGAAGAUUUAACGGGGCUCAAGCCAUGAGCCGAAGCUGCGGAUCUGCACGCAAGUGCAGGUGGUAGGGGAGCGUUCUGUACGCCUGCGAAGGUGCACUGUGAGGUGUGCUGGAGGUAUCAGAAGUGCGAAUGCUGACAUGAGUAACGUUAAUGCGGGUGAAAAACCCGCACGCCGAAAACCCAAGGUUUCCUGCUCAACGUUAAUCGGAGCAGGGUGAGCCGGUUCCUAAGACGAGACCGAAAGGUGUAGCCGAUGGAAAACAGGUCAACAUUCCUGUGCCCGGUGUGAUUGCGAUGGGGUGACGGAGAAGGCUAGUUCAGCAGGGGUUGGUUCCCUGUUUAAGCAUGUAGGAGGAGUUGCCAGGCAAAUCCGGCAGCUCUUAACUCCGAGGUGUGAUGACGAGGCUCCACGCGAGCCGAAGUGAAUAACGCCCCGCUUCCAGGAAAAGCCUCUAAGCUUCAGAUCACAUUGGACCGUACCGUAAACCGACACUGGUGGGUGAGCAGAUAAUCUGCCAAGGCGCUUGAGAGAACUCGGGUUAAGGAACUCUGCAAAUUGAUACCGUAACUUCGGAAGAAGGUAUGCCUUCGACGGUGUAGGGAUUUACUCCCGAAGCUGUUGAAGGUCGCAGGUAAUCGGUGGCUGCGUCUGUUUAUCAAAAACACAGGACUCUGCGAACACGCAAGUGGAAGUAUAGGGUCUGACGCCUGCCCGGUGCCGGAAGGUUAAUUGAUGGGGUUAGCCGCAAGGCGAAGCUCUUGAUCGAAGCCCCGGUAAACGGCGGCCGUAACUAUAACGGUCCUAAGGUAGCGAAAUUCCUUGUCGGGUAAGUUCCGACCUGCACGAAUGGCGUAACGCUGGCCACACUGUCUCGACCCGAGACUCAGUGAAGUUGAAAUCGCUGUGAAGAUGCGGCGUUCCCGCGGCAAGACGGAAAGACCCCGUGAACCUUCACUACAGCUUUACACUGAACUUUGAACCUUUCUGUGUAGGAUAGGUGGGAGGCUAUGAAACUUGGGCGCUAGCUCGAGUGGAGCCAACCUUGAAAUACCACCCUGGGAUGUUUGAAGUUCUAACCUUGGUCCGUAAUCCGGAUUGGGGACAGUGUAUGGUGGGUAGUUUGACUGGGGCGGUCUCCUCCCAAAGAGUAACGGAGGAGUGCAAUGGUACGCUCAGCGCGGUCGGUCAUCGCGCUCUAGAGUGCAAAGGCAUAAGCGUGCUUAACUGUGAGACAGACACGUCGAACAGGUACGAAAGUAGGUCUUAGUGAUCCGGUGGUUC